GAUGAACGCUGGCGGCGUGCCUAAUACAUGCAAGUCGAGCGAACGGACGAGAAGCUUGCUUCUCUGAUGUUAGCGGCGGACGGGUGAGUAACACGUGGAUAACCUACCUAUAAGACUGGGAUAACUUCGGGAAACCGGAGCUAAUACCGGAUAAUAUUUUGAACCGCAUGGUUCAAAAGUGAAAGACGGUCUUGCUGUCACUUAUAGAUGGAUCCGCGCUGCAUUAGCUAGUUGGUAAGGUAACGGCUUACCAAGGCAACGAUGCAUAGCCGACCUGAUAGGGUGAUCGGCCACACUGGAACUGAGACACGGUCAAGACUCCUACGGGAGGCAGCAGUAGGGAAUCUUCCGCAAUGGGCGAAAGCCUGACGGAGCAACGCCGCGUGAGUGAUGAAGGUCUUCGGAUCGUAAAACUCUGUUAUUAGGGAAGAACAUAUGUGUAAGUAACUGUGUACAUCUUGACGGUACCUAAUCAGAAAGCCACGGCUAACUACGUG
rnacentral:rRNA from 1 species